UACGUAGGGGGCAAGCGUUGUCCGGAUUUACUGGGCGUAAAGCGCGUGUAGGCGGAAGCGAAAGUCCGGUGUGAAAGCCCCCCGCUCAACGGGGGAAGGUCGCUGGAAACUGCGCUUCUUGAGGGCGGCAGAGGGAAGUGGAAUUGCUGGUGUAGCGGUGAAAUGCGUAGAGAUCUGGAGGAACACCGAUGGCGAAGGCAGCCCCCUGGGCUAACACUGACGCUCAUGCACGAAAGCGUGGGGAGCAAACAGG
rnacentral:rRNA from 1 species